rnacentral:lncRNA from 1 species
ACGGGAAGCGCAGCCUCGGCGGGGCCCGGCCGGCGGCGGGGAGGUCGCGGGGCCGGGAGGCGCGAGAAGUUGGUCAAAUUUUCCAUUCGAAGACGAGUUUUAUGCUGCGGUAGCUUCAAGCAAUAAGUCGAACACUGUGUUGAAAUUAAGUCUUGGAUCCGACUACUUCCAGCGAAGUGAGGAGUUGGUCCAAUAGAAAUUAUUUUCCAAAAUGUGUUGUAAUUCUCCUGUUGCUCCACAAAUAAGGGGUUAUCAGAGAGGAAAACGUUGACUGACUUCGCAUUUCUGAAAGCUGGUUUGUAGUCGCCUUAUUUCAUCCUUACCCUUCUCUGGAAAUGUGACAUUAGUUCUGUUUGUGCUUAAGACAAAGGAAACAGCUGGCACCUUUCGGGAAGGUGGCUCCAGUACAGUUGUUUCCAGGUGUUAAGCUGUAUGAGAAAGUAGAAAAGUAAUCAGAAAUCCUUACUAGUUUUCAUUUAAUCAUUUAAUUAUUAAUUUUAACCAUCAUUAUUUGUCGUCUACUUGUUUUGUGUAAAAUGAGUAAUACACUCAAAGUUCUUGUUAAUAGGAAAUUAUUGUUUGAUAAAGCUGGCUUUAUGGCUUGGUUAUUUUGAUACCUGCUAUGAAAUUCUAUGUCCAGAAGAGUGCAGCAUAUCCAAGCAGGGUAAUAAGUUCAGAAGGACUGAAAAAGAAAACAAAGAUGAUUUUUCUUUAAUGAUGGAAAGGCAAUUUUUAUUUCAAACGAUUAUGCAUUUGUAGGUUGUGCAUAGGCUGAAAGGUUUGAAUCACUGUGAAAUAAUGUUUCUAACAACAUCCUUAAAACUGAGUUACCUCUUGAAUGGAUAGAUAAAUAGGAACUGGGUUAACUACCCCAAACGCUAAUCUCUUUAUGAUCAUCCUUUUUUGGAAUGAUUUAUUAUUUUAAAAAUUAUGUUGUAAGAAUGGAAUUAUAGCCCCGGAAAUAUUUAGAAGCUUUAUUUCAAAUUAAUGUUAUUAAGUAUUCCAGCAAAACAAUAAAUUCCACUUUUAAGUAUAUGUUAAAAUGGUGAUAAAUAAAAGUUAUAACUUAAUUC